rnacentral:rRNA from 1 species
UACGUAGGGGGCUAGCGUUGUCCGGAAUCAUUGGGCGUAAAGCGCGCGUAGGCGGCCCGAUAAGUCUGCUGUGAAAGUCCAGGGCUCAACCCUGGAAUGCCGGUGGAUACUGUCGGGCUAGAGUUCGGAAGAGGCAAGUGGAAUUCCUGGUGUAGCGGUGGAAUGCGCAGAUAUCAGGAGGAACACCUAUAGCGAAGGCAGCUUGCUGGGACGACACUGACGCUGAGGCGCGAUAGCGUGGGGAGCAAACGGG